AUGGCCCUAGACGUGGUGACGAAUAAUCUGGCGUCUGAGGCUGCUACUCCCGCAAACACACCAUGGCCGAACCAAACUCAGGGUUGGGUCGCCUUUUCGGUCGAUGGUUCUUACUACGCACAUGAUGGUAAGGCUGGCACAGGGAUGAUUUUACGAGAUAAUAACGGCAAGAUGAUCUUUGCAGCAUAUAAAAGACUCUUCCAUUGCAAUGAUGCCUUAAAAACGGAAAUCCAAGCAAUGAUAGAAGGGCUCUUCUUGGAACUUGAAAGAUCAAGCUUACCUAUACAACUUCAAUCCGAUUGCACAGUUGCUCUUAAAGUGCUCAUGUAUGAUUCUCUGGACAGAUCGGCAUAUGGUCAUUUGAUUACUGAGAUUAAACGUUCCAUAAAUGAUAGGGUAGUUGUUCCGGUAAAAAUUUCUCGCUUUUAG
rnacentral:rRNA from 1 species